rnacentral:rRNA from 1 species
UACAGAGGUCUCAAGCGUUGUUCGGAUUCAUUGGGCGUAAAGGGUGCGUAGGUGGCGCGCUAAGUCAGACGUGAAAUCCCUCAGCUUAACUGGGGAACUGCGUCUGAUACUGGAUGGCUUGAGUUUGGGAGAGGGAUGCGGAAUUCCAGGUGUAGCGGUGAAAUGCGUAGAUAUCUGGAGGAACACCGGCGGCGAAGGCGGCAUCCUGGACCAACACUAACACUGAGGAGCGAAAGCCAGGGGAACAAACGGG